GGUUGAUCCUGCCAGUAGUCAUAUGCUCGUCUCAAAGAUUAAGCCAUGCAUGUCUAAGUAUAAACUGCUUAUACUGUGAAACUGCGAAUGGCUCAUUAAAUCAGUUAUAGUUUAUUUGAUGGUACCUUGCUACUCGGAUAACCGUUUGCGCGGUUAGACAGGGCCUCAGUGCCCUAGUGAUGCGGCCUGCCGCAUUGCAACACUGUCAAAUUGCCUGGACCUCCUGGUACUGUGUGGAAGACCGCCUGCCAUGGGAAACCGUG
rnacentral:rRNA from 1 species